AGGAACAGAGGAGCCUAGGGUAUAACCAGGCUGCUUCGCGUCUGAUUUCUAUAUAUCGCGGUUACGGUUGGAUCGCGGCCUUUGCCUGCGGAGGGAGGCGAGGGAGGUUAUGCCGGAGAGCGAACAGUGUGUUAUUGCAGGCUUAAUAUAUUUACUAGAGAUAUGGAACGUGCACAUUGUUGGUCAAGUUGCUAUCAGUGCAAAGUCUCGUUAUUCCAAGAAUUUCUUGGCUGGCGGUUUCUUGCUUUUGGAGACUUUCUGAUCAUCUCUUUUGUUAACUAUACUUAGUGGCCAGCUGCUUUUCUAUGUCCAACAAGAGCAGCCUGAUGCAACUUUUUUCUGAAGUUGGUGUUGGGUCUAUGUCACACUUCUACAACGCAUUCCCAACACAGCUUCUGCUUGGUGUAAAUCUGAGGUCUCAGGUGCAUGAUAUUGAAGAAGUAAUCUCUGGGGGUUAAAUCUUCGAGCUUCAGCCACUGUCAUCUCAUUUUUCCUCCUUUUGGUCCUAUAGCUAGUAGGCAUUUUGUUUGCUCCAAUUCCAUUCAGAUCCAGAUGCAUGUUUGGUGUGUUAUUUGAUAUCAAUUUCUUCAACUAUGGCAUGCACUUGACUAGUUAACAAGAUUUUUAAAAAAGUGUAAACAAGUUAUAUGGAGAGUGCGAAGCUUCCUCGAAACUUGUUCCGUUAGGCUGUUCGAGGCUAUUGGGAGUAAUUUUCUCCAGCUAGGUUGAGCUGCAAUAUCUUGACUGCUGCUUUUUGUGAAGUGGAACGUGGUCCUGGAGCUUUAUUUCACAUGUUAAUGGAAACAGAGGCUUUGAACAUGACAAUCAGAAAGACAUCCUGGUGACAUGUAUUGCAAGUUAAAAUUGAUGGUGGAUUUUUCUUGAAGUUUGUCCAAGUUUUAUACAAACACAGACAUU